rnacentral:rRNA from 1 species
AGUGAACGCCGGCGGUAGGCCUAACACAUGCAAGUCGAGCGGCAGCACAGUAAGAGCUUGCUCUUACGGGUGGCGAGUGGCGGACGGGUGAGGAAUACAUCGGAAUCUACUUUUUCGUGGGGGAUAACGUAAGGAAACUUACGCUAAUACCGCAUACGACCUACGGGUGAAAGCAGGGGAUCUUCGGACCUUGCGCGAUUGAAUGAGCCGAUGUCGGAUUAGCUAGUUGGCGGGGUAAAGGCCCACCAAGGCGACGAUCCGUAGCUGGUCUGAGAGGAUGAUCAGCCACACUGGAACUGAGACACGGUCCAGACUCCUACGGGAGGCAGCAGUGGGGAAUAUUGGACAAUGGGCGCAAGCCUGAUCCAGCCAUACCGCGUGGGUGAAGAAGGCCUUCGGGUUGUAAAGCCCUUUUGUUGGGAAAGAAAAGCAGCAGGUUAAUACCCCGCUGUUCUGACGGUACCCAAAGAAUAAGCACCGGCUAACUUCGUG